ensembl:rRNA 5S_rRNA 5S ribosomal RNA
GUCUACAGCCAUGCUCCCCUGAACAAGCUCGAUCCUGUCUGAUCUCUAAAGCUAAGUUUGGUUGGGCCUGGUUAGUACUUGGAUGGGAGACCACCUAGGAAGAUCAGGAACUGUAGGUG